AUUGAACGCUGGCGGCAGGCCUAACACAUGCAAGUCGAGCGGAUGAAGGGAGCUUGCUCCUGGAUUCAGCGGCGGACGGGUGAGUAAUGCCUAGGAAUCUGCCUGGUAGUGGGGGAAACGUCCGGAAACGGGCGCUAAUACCGCAUACGUCCUGAGGGAGAAAGUGGGGGAUCUUCGGACCUCACGCUAUCAGAUGAGCCUAGGUCGGAUUAGCUAGUUGGUGGGGUAAAGGCCUACCAAGGCGACGAUCCGUAACUGGUCUGAGAGGAUGAUCAGUCACACUGGAACUGAGACACGGUCCAGACUCCUACGGGAGGCAGCAGUGGGGAAUAUUGGACAAUGGGCGGAAGCCUGAUCCAGCCAUGCCGCGUGUGUGAAGAAGGUCUUCGGAUUGUAAAGCACUUUAAGUUGGGAGGAAGGGCAGUAAGUUAAUACCUUGCUGUUUUGACGUUACCAACAGAAUAAGCACCGGCUAACUUCGUG
rnacentral:rRNA from 1 species